rnacentral:lncRNA from 1 species
UCUUAGCGUGUUACAACAGACAAAUGUCCAGAGCGCUGGAUUCAGGAGCUGUGACUCACCAUCGUGGAUCCCAUAUCCCCAGGACACAAAGGGCACAAAUACCUGGGGGAAGACAGCAGGGUCCAGGGGACAGUCAGCACUCCACGUGAGCCAUGGCACCAGAAAAUUGUCAAAGAAAAACAAAUCCAGAUUUUGGUAAUCCAGGGAAGCAUGGUUUUGAGGAAGCGUGGUCCUUUUCUGUAAGCCUGUUCCUGGAACACAAUGGGUAGGAGAUUUCUUGUACAGUGCUGUUUUCUGGGAGAACAGGAUUCAGAUUGACCCUGAGCUAACAUCUGUGCCACUCUUCCUCUAUUUUAUGUGGGAUGCUGCCACAGCAUGGCUUGACAAGAGGCACUAGGUCCAUGCCUGGGAUCCAAACCUGUGAACCUCGGGCUCUCCAAGCAGAGAACGCAAACUCAACCACUAUGCCACCGGCUGGCCCCUAUCAGUUUUCUUUUGACACUUCAAACAGAGCUAGUGUUUAAUAUAAUUUAGGUCUGAAGACAUGCUGUUAAUGGUCUGAACAAUUUGAUGUCAACUGUUGGGGGAGAGCAGGCAUAGACUUGGACUUUUUUGAAAUAGAGAUUUUCAAAAGAGGAGAGCCACCACACACCAGGAACCAGGUCAUCAUCACGCUUCUGUUCUUCAGAUUUCGAUUCUACAGGUUCCCUUUUAUGUUCGAUACAAUCCCAAGACCCACACCCCUCCCCCCAACACAUACAGGUACUUCCAGGAAUUGUUUUGCUAUCUUAAGGGAGAGAGAUCAAUAAUGCUCACAAGUAAACAAAUCUCAAAAAGUUGAUAAUGUACAUUUGAAAAUCCAUUUGUUUAUAUGUUUUAAAAACGGGGAAGUCAAAGCAAAGAAGACAAAAGUGUAUAAAUUUGAGAGAUAUUCAGAUAUCCAUGGAAGAGAAUUGCUCAGAAGAACAAAGCAGAGUAUAACAUUACAUGAGUCAUGGCCUUUCUCAAGAGAGUAAAAGUAAGCAUAUUUUUAUGAGUUGAUUGUUUAACUCUUAGAACAUUUGACAUGGGGUCUAUUGAUUGUGGAGGGGCUGAUCUCCUCCUCGUGGGUUAUUUGAGCUCCUCUCUGGGCCUAGGUAUAUUUUUGUCAUAAUUUAUCCCACCUGUGUCUGUCAAUUCCUUUCCACUUGCCUCCUCCCGUGACAGUCUGGCUCAUGUUUCUUCAAAAAGCUCUAAGCCAGUUAUUAAUAACAGCCCAGAGAGUCUCCUGAUCCAUCUAGGAGCAUAUGGUGUUUUCACGAAAGAGAGAGAUCAUCUCCUUGACUUUGAACUUCGCUUUUUGAACGCCUGAACAGACUGGUAGAUUCGAUUCUCUAUCUGGAUGAAACAGAAAGGAAGGUUGUCUCAGAGAAGAUCUGUUUCCCAAAGUGCUACCCUAUAACUCAGGAGGAACCAAGGUUGCUAAGAGACCACCUGUGCUGAAUCCACUUUGUUCUAGCAAGAGCAGACGGAAAGAACACCAAGGAGCAGUGUUAGCUGUCACUACCUGGGAUUAAGGCAGGGAGCAGGAGCUUUCUGAAUAUGACGUGUAAAAACUGGAUAUUAAUUUCUACUACUACCCCCACAAGUCUGGAAGAGGAAAUUGUGGGAAGACUUCUAAAAAUUUUGUUUGUUAUCCUUGUUGACUUAAUGUCUAUUAUAUAUGUUGUUAUUAGUUCUUAGUUCUGACUUCCCUUACUUUACAUGUAAAUUCCAUAUUGAAUUCCAGUGAAUAAAAAUUUGUAGUCUAAUAUGUUGAGUAAAUUUAAUUUGAUGACAUCUCCAAUUAUUCUCAAAGCCAACAGAACAUUACAAUAAAAACAAUAUUGUGUUUAGUACUUUAUGGUUUAUAAAACAUUCAUAAAUUGAAGUGGAAUUCUUUCCCCCCAAAAUCUACACUAUUGAGUCAUAAAAUUUCUUGACUUUUAGCACAACUGUUAUUUGGUAGAUUGACUAAACUUUGUCGGUAGAAUAUGAGUGAAGUUGAUUUUUUAAGGAUGCACACCUAUGUGAAAUUUUAUAUGGUUCUAUUUUUAACAUAACAAGCUUAACAUAGGAUAAUUUUUCCACCCGAUAUACCAAUAGUUUAUAUUCAUUUUCUUGUACACAUACUUCAUCUGUGUGGUGGUAGAUUGUUUUUCUUAACCCCGGACAAUUUUUUUCUACCAGCAAACACUAAGAGGAAUAGAAAUACUAAAAAGAGAUUCUUUUAGGAAAAUAGAACUUAGAGAAAACAGGGAGCAACCUGUGUUGAUUUUCCAUUUUGGACUAAAUACUCACAGUAUGUGAUUUAACAUAAGGCUCAUGAUAAUCCUUGGAGGCAAGUGUUUGUUGUCCCUAUGUGACAGACACAGAAACUGAAUUUUGGAAGAAUUAUUCUAGCUUGAGACCACCACCAGGAAGUGGUAGAACCAGGUCUCAGGCCUUUACAGUCCGUGAUAUCGUGUUGCCUCCAAAGAUAGACAAUAAAUAAAAAGACAAGUGUGGGCUCUGUAGAGCUCAACUUCUUUUCGUAGUAAUGUUUUAUUCAAGAUCCUAUGGUUGUAUUUUAGUGUACCCCUACUUAUUCUUAUUCCAUAUUUAAAAAUCUUUUAUGAAGAAGAAAGAUUGUUUACUCUUUU